AGUCAAACCACUGGCUCAGUAGAGAUGCUGCAUUGUUGGGGAGCAGGAAGAUUCUAUGAGAAAAGAUAUUAAGACCCUCCGGUUUGGCCAUAUCAUUCCCCUAAUAGUGAUUUAAUACUCUGAGUUUGCGUGCUCUCUUCCCACUGAUGCUCUGAAUAUUUAGGUUUCCUCCCUCUGGCUUAGAGGCAGACCCUGUUUUCAAUCAAGGAUCAACCAACCAAAGGAUCCCCUUUGCAAGAAGUCACUUCCUUCCAAGGCCACAUGAACAUUUUGAAGUCACUCACAGUCUUGCCUUGGGAGGUUCUGCACCAUCUAGCCAUCGUGGUUGGGAAGAAGAGUCAACUUUAAAUCUAUGAUGCCUGUGAUCCUAAGAAUCCUCAUCUAAAACGUAUCAUGUUCUCCAUGGGCAUCAGAUGGUCACUGGGUCACUGGCUUGAGGAAAUUCACAAUGACUUUUCCACAUCACGGCUUUCCCUCAUUCAAGAGCUUCCCUUCAUGGAACAUUAUCUCUCCACCGCGGAGACGGAAGAAAAGGGGAGAUGUUUAAAAACAAGGGCGCCUGGCGGGAGUGAGAUGGCCAGACCCGAAGGGGCCCCCACGCACUCCUGUUCGUGUGUGUGCUGGGAACCCCUCUGGAAGUCGGGGAAAGCCUUUCUCGGAAAGGUGCUCGUAUUCGAAACCAUUUUCUUUUUCCAGUUACAUGUAGGAAACGAUUUUUAAAUGUACGAAAUAAAUGAUCGUACAAAGGAUUGCGCGAGAAACCU
rnacentral:lncRNA from 1 species